GCACCAAACCCAAGCAAGGGUUCCUAUAGUCAGUCAGUGCAUACACUCCACUUUUAUACACUUAAAUAUAAGUCAGUGCACAUAACUACUUAAAUCUUUUAAGAGCCAAAUUAUUCCAUUGCCCCCCUCAAUGGGUUGCUACAUUUGGGCUAUAUUUGGGCAACACUAAUAAUGGAGGUAGAUAGGGAACUCUAAUAAUAGAGAUCAAUAGCGAACUCCAAUGAUGGAUAUAUCAGAUAGAUUUGUUUCUUUGUAAAUGCAAAAUUGAUUGUCAAAAUAUUUCCUUGCAGUUAUAUUUAAGAUUAAAAGAGAGACCCAUUUACCAUAACAACUAGAAUUUAAAAAUCUUUCGUUGUCAAUCUCUCUCUCUCUCUUUCUCUUUCACACACACAAAUACCC
rnacentral:lncRNA from 1 species